rnacentral:rRNA from 1 species
CCUACGGGAGGCAGCAGUGAGGAAUAUUGGUCAAUGGGCGAGAGCCUGAACCAGCCAAGUCGCGUGAGGGAUGACGGCCCUACGGGUUGUAAACCUCUUUUGUCGAGGAGCAAAGCGAGUCACGUGUGCCUCAUUGUAUGUACCUUAUGAAAAAGGAUCGGCUAACUCCGUGCCAGCAGCCGCGGUAAUACGGAGGAUCCGAGCGUUAUCCGGAUUUAUUGGGUUUAAAGGGGGCGCAGGGGGAGGUGCAAGUCAGCGGUAAAAUUUCGGGGUUAAACCCUGUACUGCAGUUGAAACUGGAAGUCUUGAGUGCGGGAGAGGUAGGCGGAAUGCGUGGUGUAGCGGUGAAAUGCAUAGAUAGCACGAAGAACUCCGAUUGCGAAGGCAGCAUACUGGCGCGCAACUGACGCUGAUGCACGAAAGCGUGGGUAUCAAACAGGAUUAGAUACCCUUGUAGUC